rnacentral:rRNA from 1 species
UGGCGGACGGGUGAGUAAUGUCUGGGAAACUGCCUGAUGGAGGGGGAUAACUACUGGAAACGGUAGCUAAUACCGCAUAACGUCACAAGACCAAAGAGGGGGACCUUCGGGCCUCUUGCCAUCGGAUGUGCCCAGAUGGGAUUAGCUAGUAGGUGGGGUAAAGGCUCACCUAGGCGACGAUCCCUAGCUGGUCUGAGAGGAUGACCAGCCACACUGGAACUGAGACACGGUCCAGACUCCUACGGGAGGCAGCAUG